UCGAGAAUUUUUCACAAUGGGCGCAAGCCUGAUGGAGCGACGCCGCGUGGGGGAUGAAGGGUUUCGAUCCGUAAACCCCUGUCAUUUGCGAACAAACCUUGAUUGUGAAUAGCGAUCGAGCUGAUUGUAGCGGAAGAGGAAGGGACGGCUAACUCUGUGCCAGCAGCCGCGGUAAUACAGAGGUCCCAAGCGUUGUUCGGAUUCACUGGGCGUAAAGGGUGCGUAGGUGGUCGGUGAAGUUCGGUGUGAAAGCUCGGAGCUCAACUCCGAAGCGACAUUGAAAACUCAUCGGCUGGCGGGUCGGAGGGGAGACUGGAAUUCUCGGUGUAGCAGUGAAAUGCGUAGAUAUCGAGAGGAACACCAGUGGCGAAGGCGAGUCUCUGGACGACUCCUGACACUGAGGCACGAAAGCCAGGGGAGCAAACAG
rnacentral:rRNA from 1 species